rnacentral:lncRNA from 1 species
CCAGCGGCUCCGACCCUUCAAGGCCCCGCACAUGCCCAUCACAGUGCCGUGACCAGAUUCGAGGGCUAUCGAGAAUUUUUAGUGGGUAGGCGGGUGUGCAAACAUGAAACCCACGAUGAAUGCAAUUGACUACAUCCAGAACAUCAUCGGGUCACCAUGCAAGUAAUAUGAAAAUCACCAGUGGGAUCACUUACAUUCUCUUUUUGGUGCUAAGUCUUUGAAAUCCAAGGUCAGUUCGACACUCAAAGGAGUUCUCAAUUUGGGCCACAUUUCAGGUGCUCGAGAGCCACAGGCCGCUGUCUGGCUUUCUUCAGAGUCUCGAAGGGGCCCGUGAACUCAAAGAGUAACCAUAAAAGGUCAAUGCCAGAUACAGCCACCUGGAAGCACCGGCGGUCCCAAGGAGCACGCGCCCUAGGGCACAAGGCAACACGGGAAGGAGCCGGAGCUCCAAGUGCCAAGCGGAUGGAACUCCCAGACAGAAGCAAGCUGCGGAACGGGAGGCCCCAGACACGAUAGUAUUUAUGCGGCAUUUAGCCACGUGCAGCUUCGGUGUUUGAGCAGCUAGCAUGCGCUGUGGGGAGAAGCGCCCCCAAAGCUGCGCGGUGACGCGGAAAACGGACCCAACAACAGCCGGCACCCAGGCGUCUUUGGACACAUCGGGGUAAAGAGAGUCGGCGGGGUGUGCGGAAUUCCCGCGGGUGGGUCCCUGCCGGCGCCUGGACGCCGCCCCGACGUCCACGGAGGCCGCACCCG